GGAGAAGUUGAUCCUGGCUCAGAUUGAACGCUAGCGGGGAUGCUUUACACAUGCAAGUCGAACGGCAGCACGAGAGAGCUUGCUCUCUUGGUGGCGAGUGGCGGACGGGUGAGUAAUAUAUCGGAACGUGCCCAGUAGCGGGGGAUAACUACUCGAAAGAGUGGCUAAUACCGCAUACGCCCUACGGGGGAAAGGGGGGGAUUCUUCGGAACCUCUCACUAUUGGAGCGGCCGAUAUCGGAUUAGCUAGUUGGUGGGGUAAAGGCUCACCAAGGCAACGAUCCGUAGCUGGUUUGAGAGGACGACCAGCCACACUGGGACUGAGACACGGCCCAGACUCCUACGGGAGGCAGCAGUGGGGAAUUUUGGACAAUGGGGGAAACCCUGAUCCAGCCAUCCCGCGUGUAUGAUGAAGGCCAUCGGGUUGUAAAGUACUUUUGGCAGAGAAGAAAAGAUAGAGCUCCCUAAUACGGAGAUACUGCGCAC
rnacentral:rRNA from 1 species